rnacentral:rRNA from 1 species
ACCCCGAGGAAAAGAAAUCAACCGAGAUUCCCCCAGUAGCGGCGAGCGAACGGGGAGGAGCCCAGAGCCUGAAUCAGUGUGUGUGUUAGUGGAAGCGUCUGGAAAGGCGCGCGAUACAGGGUGACAGCCCCGUACACAAAAAUGCACAUACUGUGAGCUCGAUGAGUAGGGCGGGACACGUGGUAUCCUGUCUGAAUAUGGGGGGACCAUCCUCCAAGGCUAAAUACUCCUGACUGACCGAUAGUGAACCAGUACCGUGAGGGAAAGGCGAAAAGAACCCCGGCGAGGGGAGUGAAAAAGAACCUGAAACCGUGUACGUACAAGCAGUGGGAGCCUCUUAAUGGGGUGACUGCGUACCUUUUGUAUAAUGGGUCAGCGACUUAUAUUCUGUAGCAAGGUUAACCGAAUAGGGGAGCCGAAGGGAAACCGAGUCUUAACUGGGCGUUAAGUUGCAGGGUAUAGACCCGAAACCCGGUGAUCUAGCCAUGGGCAGGUUGAAGGUUGGGUAACACUAACUGGAGGACCGAACCGACUAAUGUUGAAAAAUUAGCGGAUGACUUGUGGCUGGGGGUGAAAGGCCAAUCAAACCGGGAGAUAGCUGGUUCUCCCCGAAAGCUAUUUAGGUAGCGCCUCGUGAAUUCAUCUCCGGGGGUAGAGCACUGUUUCGGCAAGGGGGUCAUCCCGACUUACCAACCCGAUGCAAACUGCGAAUACCGGAGAAUGUUAUCACGGGAGACACACGGCGGGUGCUAACGUCCGUCGUGAAGAGGGAAACAACCCAGACCGCCAGCUAAGGUCCCAAAGUCAUGGUUAAGUGGGAAACGAUGUGGGAAGGCCCAGACAGCCAGGAUGUUGGCUUAGAAGCAGCCAUCAUUUAAAGAAAGCGUAAUAGCUCACUGGUCGAGUCGGCCUGCGCGGAAGAUGUAACGGGGCUAAACCAUGCACCGAAGCUGCGGCAGCGACACUAUGUGUUGUUGGGUAGGGGAGCG